ensembl:lncRNA
CAGAAGGGGUGGAGCCAUGCUCCCCCCCUUCCUACACCCCAUUUAAGGGCUGACUCUCAAGGAGGAAGGAUCUUUAUCUGGUGCUCAUCCCUCUUGGAAUCUUUCUGUGAGCCCAGAACAUGGGACUAAACGUGAAAAAGAUGUUCUUCAUAGAACAUGACACAAUCCCACUCUUGGACAGCCUGGAUGACGGAACGCAAAAGAGUGUACAGUGCCUCCCCCCGUUGCUCACAUGCCCUGACUCAGUGCUGCUGGCAGGGAUGAAUGGAGCACAGCGUGAGGUCAGCUCCCAGACAGCACUGUCCCAGCCCCUCCCCGGGAACGUCACAAAGGACCCACCACCCAUCUGCGUGGGCACCCAUUUCUGAAGGACCAGAGUGUGUGAGAAGGAGGCAGUGAGAGUAGGUACAUGACGACUGUGACUUGGGAAUCUGGCUUUGAUUCCAGCUCUGCCACUGGUUUGGGAUGCUCCAAAAAGUUAUCUGCUUGGGCCUUAGUUUCCCCAUCUUUGAAACAGGGAUACUUUUGUCUGUUUAUAAAGUGCUUUGAGACCAUGUGUUAAAGUGCAGUAUGUAAUAACCAUACAGUGUCACUUUUCCUGUCCCUUUCUUUCUCAUUAUUUAUCACACCAAUGGGUUUCAACUGCUGCUAAAUUAGAUCACAGGCAUCUGAAGGAAACCUACAUUUUUCACAGCAUGCUGGUAGAAGCAUCCCAGGGCUCCCUGACUCCCAGGUAGUAAUGCAGGACAAGCAAUUAUAUUAAAAGCACCUCUCCUGGAGCUAUGGACAAUACUACAAAGGGGAAUGCUAAGU